rnacentral:rRNA from 2 species
CUGGGAGGACCAUCUCCUAAGGCUAAAUACUCUCUAGUGACCGAUAGUGAACCAGUACCGUGAGGGAAAGGUGAAAAGCACCCCGGAAGGGGAGUGAAAUAGAACCUGAAACCGUGUGCUUACAAGUAGUCAGAGCCCGUUAAUGGGUGAUGGCGUGCCUUUUGUAGAAUGAACCGGCGAGUUACGAUUUGAUGCAAGGUUAAGCAGUAAAUGUGGAGCCGUAGCGAAAGCGAGUCUGAAUAGGGCGUUUAGUAUUUGGUCGUAGACCCGAAACCAGGUGAUCUACCCUUGGUCAGGUUGAAGUUCAGGUAACACUGAAUGGAGGACCGAACCGACUUACGUUGAAAAGUGAGCGGAUGAACUGAGGGUAGCGGAGAAAUUCCAAUCGAACCUGGAGAUAGCUGGUUCUCUCCGAAAUAGCUUUAGGGCUAGCCUCAAGUGAUGAUUAUUGGAGGUAGAGCACUGUUUGGACGAGGGGCCCCUCUCGGGUUACCGAAUUCAGACAAACUCCGAAUGCCAAUUAAUUUAACUUGGGAGUCAGAACAUGGGUGAUAAGGUCCGUGUUCGAAAGGGAAACAGCCCAGACCACCAGCUAAGGUCCCAAAAUAUAUGUUAAGUGGAAAAGGAUGUGGCGUUGCCCAGACAACUAGGAUGUUGGCUUAGAAGCAGCCAUCAUUUAAAGAGUGCGUAAUAGCUCACUAGUCGAGUGACACUGCGCCGAAAAUGUACCGGGGCUAAACAUAUUACCGAAGCUGUGGAUUGUCCUUUGGACAAUGGUAGGAGAGCGUUCUAAGGGCGUUGAAGCAUGAUCGUAAGGACAUGUGGAGCGCUUAGAAGUGAGAAUGCCGGUGUGAGUAGCGAAAGACGGGUGAGAAUCCCGUCCACCGAUUGACUAAGGUUUCCAGAGGAAGGCUCGUCCGCUCUGGGUUAGUCGGGUCCUAAGCUGAGGCCGACAGGCGUAGGCGAUGGAUAACAGGUUGAUAUUCCUGUACCACCUAUAAUCGUUUUAAUCGAUGGGGGGACGCAGUAGGAUAGGCGAAGCGUGCGAUUGGAUUGCACGUCUAAGCAGUAAGGCUGAGUAUUAGGCAAAUCCGGUACUCGUUAAGGCUGAGCUGUGAUGGGGAGAAGACAUUGUGUCUUCGAGUCGUUGAUUUCACACUGCCGAGAAAAGCCUCUAGAUAGAAAAUAGGUGCCCGUACCGCAAACCGACACAGGUAGUCAAGAUGAGAAUUCUAAGGUGAGCGAGCGAACUCUCGUUAAGGAACUCGGCAAAAUGACCCCGUAACUUCGGGAGAAGGGGUGCUCUUUAGGGUUAACGCCCAGAAGAGCCGCAGUGAAUAGGCCCAAGCGACUGUUUAUCAAAAACACAGGUCUCUGCUAAACCGUAAGGUGAUGUAUAGGGGCUGACGCCUGCCCGGUGCUGGAAGGUUAAGAGGAGUGGUUAGCUUCUGCGAAGCUACGAAUCGAAGCCCCAGUAAACGGCGGCCGUAACUAUAACGGUCCUAAGGUAGCGAAAUUCCUUGUCGGGUAAGUUCCGACCCGCACGAAAGGCGUAACGAUUUGGGCACUGUCUCAACGAGAGACUCGGUGAAAUCAUAGUACCUGUGAAGAUGCAGGUUACCCGCGACAGGACGGAAAGACCCCGUGGAGCUUUACUGUAGCCUGAUAUUGAAAUUCGGCACAGCUUGUACAGGAUAGGUAGGAGCCUUUGAAACGUGAGCGCUAGCUUACGUGGAGGCGCUGGUGGGAUACUACCCUAGCUGUGUUGGCUUUCUAACCCGCACCACUUAUCGUGGUGGGAGACAGUGUCAGGCGGGCAGUUUGACUGGGGCGGUCGCCUCCUAAAAGGUAACGGAGGCGCUCAAAGGUUCCCUCAGAAUGGUUGGAAAUCAUUCAUAGAGUGUAAAGGCAUAAGGGAGCUUGACUGCGAGACCUACAAGUCGAGCAGGGUCGAAAGACGGACUUAGUGAUCCGGUGGUUCCGCAUGGAAGGGCCAUCGCUCAACGGAUAAAAGCUACCCCGGGGAUAACAGGCUUAUCUCCCCCAAGAGUUCACAUCGACGGGGAGGUUUGGCACCUCGAUGUCGGCUCAUCGCAUCCUGGGGCUGUAGUCGGUCCCAAGGGUUGGGCUGUUCGCCCAUUAAAGCGGUACGCGAGCUGGGUUCAGAACGUCGUGAGACAGUUCGGUCCCUAUCCGUCGUGGGCGUAGGAAAUUUGAGAGGAGCUGUCCUUAGUACGAGAGGACCGGGAUGGACAUACCUCUGGUGUACCAGUUGUCGUGCCAACGGCAUAGCUGGGUAGCUAUGUGUGGACGGGAUAAGUGCUGAAAGCAUCUAAGCAUGAAGCCCCCCUCAAGAUGAGAUUUCCCAACUUCGGUUAUAAGAUCCCUCAAAGAUGAUGAGGUUAAUAGGUUCGAGGUGGAAGCAUGGUGACAUGUGGAGCUGACGAAUACUAAUCGAUCGAAGACUUAAUCAA